GGGCUGAUAGCUCAGUCGGUAGAGCAGCGGACUUUUAAUCCGUUGGUCGCGAGUUCGAGUCUCGCUCAGCCCACCA
rnacentral:tRNA from 36 species